UUUAUACAUUGUUUUUCUUUUCCUAAUUGUAUCUUGAAGGUAAGAUUGAGGAAGAGGCACUUAGUUUGACUUCAAGAGAUCCUUAUGGUUUUAUGUUCUUUUAAAGAAGGAGUUUAGAGCCAGUGUGGCAUGUGCACUAUUUUUUGUUGUUGAAAAAAUCCUUAUGAGUUCUAUAAUGAAAUACAGAAAUAAGUGGGAGGUGACAGAAGAUGAGUUCAACGGAUGAUCCAGUGUCAUAUGGAUGCCCAAGAGAAUAGAAAUUUCAAUAAAAUGUAGUGGGACAUUUAUUACUAAUUUACUUCUUAAAUAUUAAGAGUAAAUUCAGCUCCAAUAUGACCUAUUAACAGGAAUGAGCUCCUUCUUUUACUAAAAAUGUUCAUAUGAAAGAUUGUCAAUUUAAUAGCUGCUUAAAAUAAUUUCCAUUAUGACUGUAACCAAAACCUAGACUAAAUGUUUAAUUAACUACAGAAGCAGUCAAUUAAAAAUACGAAAUUAAAGUUACCCUCUCCCAUAAAUGUGAUCUUGUUUUUAUAAGCUACAUGAUGUAGUUGAUUAUAAUCUGCUCUUGCUCUAGCCAUGACAUUUAUAAAGUACACUUGAGAUCACAUGCAACACAUAUUAAUUAGUACUACUCACUCUUAUUGUUACAUGUAUAAACUAUUCAGUUCUGUUUAAAAACAAAUCUUUUUUUUAAUAUUAUUUUAUAUAGGCUUACCUUCAGUGGUUUAUUGUUUAAUUUGUAGAAACAGGUUUUGCUAAGUAGGAACAUAAUUUAUUUGUAAUUCUAUUCUUUGCAUUUUGCAUCCUGAACUCAGAAACAGUGUUCAUACUGAAAUUCUUGUUGGUACACUCUCAGUUACAGCAAAAAAUUCGACUUUCUGAAAAGUGACUCUCUCAGAAAAGAAGGGGKUUUUUUGUGUGUGUGUUAAAUAACUGAACUUCUUAAAAAAAAGGAAAAGAAAUCAUUCAUGUAUGGAUCUUCAUUUCAACCAGAACCAAAAGAAAGAAAAAAUUUACAAGAGGGGGGAAAUUACUUGCUUGUAAAAAUCUGUUUAUACUUCAAAGCUCUCUGAAAAAGCAAGGUCGAUACCUUAGUGUCCAUGUGUCACACUGCUAAAUCAAUUUAAAUGACCACUUCUUUACAUUCUUCUCUGGUCUGUGCAAGUGACUGACACAAACCAAGGUACCAUCAGGAAAACAAUGUGUGUCUCUCUGUUAAUUGAUUGUGAAUAGUCACUUUUUUUUUACUAAACCGUGCAGAAUAAGCACAGAUUUUUCUAGGAACCUGGAGAUAAGGCACAACACUUUUCCUGUAACUAAGUAAGCAAGUGAUUUUCACAGCAGUUUGCAGAACAACAAAAAAUGAACUAAUAAUUCCUUAUAUGGAUUCCUGACUAGAAUUGGAAAGUCACAUUUUCCUGAAGCAGGUUCUUUUUAUCCUUACAAUUAUCUUCAUAUACCAGGA
rnacentral:lncRNA from 1 species